CCAAAUGAAAAGUUGAUGAAGUGAAAUAUUCAGUCAUGUCAAACACCCCAUUUAAUCUGAUGCCUUGGCCUGUACCACCAUUCAAGUUUAAUAUCAACAACAGAAACAUUCUGUGUCAUCACAUUUGUGGUUGGAAACUACAUCAAUAAUUCAACGUAGUGUGGUUUUCUCUCUGCUGCUACAGACUGUUGGACUUCAGAUAAAGCCCAUCAACCAUGAAGGAACUUUGUCCCAGAGGAAACAAGGCGAGUACAUGCCAAACGUGUUCGGCCUCAACAGCUGUUCUCAAAACAGUGAAAUAUGCUCUUAUUCUUCCUAGUGCCCUAGAAGACAGGAACCUGCACUCAAGUGUGCGUCUGGCCGACGAAUUUUACGGGCCGCGGAUAAGAGGUGAUAAAAAUGGCGCUCCCGAGGAACGGGCUGAGCGGUGUGUAGAAGAGCGUCGUGAUGAACGUCUGCAGCAGCAGCAUGGCAGAGUCUGAGCGGCUCCGUCAAGGAGAAAAACUAAACAACUGUCCUUAAAGCACUGACCUUGUUGAAGACGAUGGACAUGAGGAAGAAGUUGAGCAGGAAGGUCUCAGAGGCGCUGCUGCAGUCGAACUCAAAGAAGAUGAUGGUGAAGAUGAGCGUGAGGAACUGGUAGCUGG